UUGCUCACUUCGGCAGCACAUAUUCUAAAAUUGGAAUGAUACAGAGAAGAUUAACAUGGCCCCUGCGCAAGGAUGACACCCAAAUUCGGGAAGCAUUACAUAUAAAA
rnacentral:snRNA from 1 species